rnacentral:rRNA from 1 species
UGCAGUCGACGGUAACAGGAAAUAGCUUGCUAUUUUGCUGACGAGUGGCGCACGGGUGCGUAACGCGUAUACAAUCUACCUUUUGCUGAGGGAUAGCCCAGAGAAAUUUGGAUUAAUACCUCAUGGUAUUAUUGAUAGGCAUCUAUUAAUAAUUAAAGGUUACGGCAAAAGAUGAGUAUGCGUCCCAUUAGCUAGUUGGUGAAGUAACGGUUCACCAAGGCAACGAUGGGUAGGGGUCCUGAGAGGGAGAUCCCCCACACUGGUACUGAGACACGGACCAGACUCCUACGGGAGGCAGCAGUGAGGAAUAUUGGACAAUGGGCGAGAGCCUGAUCCAGCCAUGCCGCGUGCAGGAAGACUGCCCUAUGGGUUGUAAACUGCUUUUAUACAGGAAGAAUAAGCCUUACGUGUAAGGUGAUGACGGUACUGUAAGAAUAAGGACCGGCUAACUCCGUGCCAGCAGCCGCGGUAAUACGGAGGGUCCGAGCGUUAUCCGGAAUUAUUGGGUUUAAAGGGUCCGUA